GAUGAACGCUGGCGGCGUGCCUAAUACAUGCAAGUCGAGCGAACAGACGAGGAGCUUGCUCCUCUGACGUUAGCGGCGGACGGGUGAGUAACACGUGGAUAACCUACCUAUAAGACUGGGAUAACUUCGAGAAACCGGAGCUAAUACCGGAUAAUAUAUUGAACCGCAUGGUUCAAUAGUGAAAGACGGUUUUGCUGUCACAUAUAGAUGGAUCCGCGCCGCAUUAGCUAGUUGGUAAGGUAACGGCUUACCAAGGCAACGAUGCGUAGCCGACCUGAGAGGGUGAUCGGCCACACUGGAACUGAGACACGGUCCAGACUCCUACGGGAGGCAGCAGUAGGGAAUCUUCCGCAAUGGGCGAAAGCCUGACGGAGCAACGCCGCGUGAGUGAUGAAGGUCUUCGGAUCGUAAAACUCUGUUAUUAGGGAAGAACAAAUGUGUAAGUAACUAUGCACGUCUUGACGGUACCUAAUCAGAAAGCCACGGCUAACUACGUG
rnacentral:rRNA from 1 species